UUGGAGGGCAAGUCUGGUGCCAGCAGCCGCGGUAAUUCCAGCUCCAAUAGCGUAUAUUAAAGUUGUUGCAGUUAAAAAGCUCGUAGUUGAAUUUCGGGGUCAGUAGGUUGGUCAUGCCACUGGUAUGUACUGGUCUCACUGAUUCCUCCUUCCUGAUGAACUGUAAUGCCAUUAAUUUGGUGUUGCAGGGAAUCUGGACUGUUACUUUGAAAAAAUUAGAGUGUUUAAAGCAGGCUAACGCCUGAAUACAUUAGCAUGGAAUAAUGAAAUAGGACGUUCGAUCCUAUUUUGUUGGUUUCUAGGAUUGACGUAAUGAUUAAUAGGGAUAGUUGGGGGCAUUAGUAUUCAAUUGUCAGAGGUGAAAUUCUUGGAUUUAUUGAAGACUAACUACUGCGAAAGCAUUUGCCAAGGAUGUUUUCAUUAAUCAAGAACGAAAGUUAGGGAAUCGAAGACGAUCAGAUACCGUCGUAGUCUUAACCAUAAACUAUGCCGACUAGGGAUCGGAUGAUGUUAAUUUUUUUAAUGACUCAUUCGGCGCCUUACGGGAAAC
rnacentral:rRNA from 1 species